rnacentral:rRNA from 1 species
GACGAACGCUGGCGGCGUGCCUAAUACAUGCAAGUCGAACGCAGUGGGGACGGUUGCGUAACACGUGGGUAACCUCCCAUCAGAGGGGAUAACACGUGGAAACAGGUGCUAAACCGAUACUGAUGGAUGGACCCGGGGUGCAUGAGCUAGUUGGUGAGGUAACGGCUUCCCAAGGCACCGAUGCAUAGCCGACCUGAAAGGGUGACAGGCCACAUUGGGACGGCGACACGGCCCAGACUCCUACGGGAGGCAGCAGUAUGUAAUCUUCGGCAAUGGUCGAAAUUCGUACCGAGCAACGCAGCGUGAGUUAAGAAGUCUUUCGGAUCGGAAAACCCUGUUGUUAGAGAAGCGGUAUCUAACCAGAAAGCCACGGCUAACUACGUGCCAGCAGCCGCGGUAAUUC